rnacentral:rRNA from 1 species
UGGAUAAUCUGCCCUGCACAGGGGGACAACAGCUAGAAAUGGCUGCUAAUACCGCAUAAGCCUACAGCCUCGCAUGAGGGAGUAGGAAAAGAAAUUCGGUGCAGGAUGAGUCCGCGUCUGAUUAGCUAGUUGGAGGGGUAAGAGCCCACCAAGGCAACGAUCAGUAGCCGGCCUGAGAGGGCGACCGGCCACAUUGGGACUGAGACACGGCCCAAACUCCUACGGAAGGCAGCAG